rnacentral:lncRNA from 1 species
UAAUCCAAUCGCGUAGCCGAUUAAAUAGCCAACCAUUGCUACGACCGGAAGCCAUGAAACUCCCGUGAUGUCAGAACCGACAGCUCGAAGUUGAAAGUACAAGGCCUCAGCUGCAAGGAAAGGAAGAAUACUUACCGAGCGACGUACAGCCACAAGUAAUUCGUUGCGAAAGCAAUCAGCAGACACGCGAUGAACAAGGGCGCCGAGGUUACCAGAAGCGACAUUUUCCUACCCCACCUGUCCACUAUUGGAACGCCAACGACCGAUCCAAAGAUGCUACCGACGUACAUAAAACUAGCGAUCCAUGAUCCUUGGUCAGAUGUGAUCUCGAUGUCCGAGUCCUCGGCUUGCAAUUUGGCCAAAGAUGGUGAUGACCAUCCGGUGUGAAACCCGACUGAUACCAGGAUCAGUGAGCCUGUAAUCGCAAAGAGAUAAGAUGGAACAAGUUUUUCGUUAAACCACAAGCAAGAUCUAACAAACUUUGUUUACUGACUAUUUUUAAAAUAUUUGAAUAAUCA